rnacentral:rRNA from 1 species
GAAGCGGCAACAGCUCAAAUUUGAAAUCUGGCGCAAGCCCGAGUUGUAAUUUGUAGAGGAUGCUUCAGGGCAGCGGCCGGUCUAAGUUCCUUGGAACAGGACGUCGUAGAGGGUGAGAAUCCCGUAUGCGACCGGUUGGCACCCGUCACGUAGCUCCUUCGACGAGUCGAGUUGUUUGGGAAUGCAGCUCUAAAUGGGAGGUAAAUUUCUUCUAAAGCUAAAUACCGGCCAGAGACCGAUAGCGCACAAGUAGAGUGAUCGAAAGAUGAAAAGCACUUUGGAAAGAGAGUUAAAAAGCACGUGAAAUUGUUGAAAGGGAAGCGCAUGCCACCAGACUUGUCGGCGGUGUUCCGCCGGUCUUCUGACCGGUCCACUCGCCGCUGGCAGGCCAGCAUCAUCUGGGCGCGCCGGACAAAGGCGUGGGGAAUGUAGCUCCUCGGAGUGUUAUAGCCCCGCGCACAAUACGGUGCCGCCCGGGUGAGGUCCGCGCUUCGGCUAGGAUGCUGGCGUAAUGGUGGCCUGCGGCCCGUCUUGAAACACGGACCAAGGAGUCUAACAUCUAUGCGAGUGUUUGGGUGUCAAACCCCGGCGCGGAAUGAAAGUGAACGGAGGUGGGAAGCGCAAGCUGCACCAUCGACCGAUCCUGAUGUCUUCGGAUGGAUUUGAGUAAGAGCAUAGCUGUUGGGACCCGAAAGAUGGUGAACUAUGCCUGAAUAGGGUGAAGCCAGAGGAAACUCUGGUGGA